CACUGCUAAACGAGAAAGAAGAAAAAUAAAUCAAAUGCCUGGACAAUAACCACAGAAAACACAAAAAUGUUGUUGAUCCAUCAGAAAGUGAAACCCAUUCCUCAUCCAGCACAGUUUCUCUUUAUCAUCUGCUCUGUAUGUGUCUGUUUACACGCCUGCCUCUCGUCUCUGCAUGCCUCUCCAAAAGGACCCAACUCUCUCCAAGUGCACAGCAGCAGCUUUCAAUCAUGACAGAAUAACAAAGAGGAUAAAUUACAAGGCCAUGCUUGGUUUCCUCUGGUUACCGCAGUCCGUGUGGUUGGAGCGUUUUGGGGCUGACGGGGCACUGGGUAUAUUUGGUCCGGUGAGAGGCUGCCCAGACGCAAAACUCCAACCGCGAGUGUAAAUACGCUUUUAGCUUAUUUACUUAUUUACUUUUAGCUUAUUUUAGCUUAUAGCUUUUCUUAAUUCGGAUAGCUCAGCAGCGGUGUUCAUGCAGAGCUUCUUUUUAUUGUUUUAGACAUUGUGUUUCGUAAGAGGAUCACCUCACCAGGACAUCCCAUAAAGCAGCAACUGUGCUUGACCUUUACAACAAACCCACUCACUGUCAGUGAGGUCUGUCAGUGCAUUGACCCUCUUCUCUGGUGACUCCUGGUUGGACAAGUUGAGAAAAGGAACAAAAAGCAGGAAUCCAGUCAAGCAAAGUCUCCGUCUGAAUAAGGUUUAUCCAUGUGUGCGACCUCCACGCUGCCCACAGGACAACCUGUCACCUUUGUUCUCAGUCCACUGGGUCUUCUGCUCCAAAGAACUCCAACCCUUCAAGCAACCAGAGUCCGACACGCUUCUCGAAGAGGGCAAUGAAGUAGAAUGUUGUAAUCCAGCAACUGUUUUGUCUGCAUCGUUCUGGAGGAAAGAUAAAGCUCCUCCGUGGAGUGGAUUAGCUGCUAAUCGUCUCUGCCAUCCCUCCCUCCUUGACUCCUCCACUCGGCCUCUGCCUUCUUAAGACCUCUUAGUUCUUCAGUGUUCUGGGUGGUGGAGGGGGGCGGGGGGUUCUGCUUUCAUUCAGUUUAACCUAAAAACCAAAGAAAGGAAAGGAGAAAUGUCAGCGGUCCAAACCAAACACAAGACCAAGUAGACAGGUUAAGCAUCCGGAGCGUUGGUCUACUGUCGCCUGAAGAGUCUGGGACAGAAUCUGGUCAGGUUAACCCAACUUUUCUGAGAGUUUGGCUCACGUGUAAUCUUCAGCAUGGUGCACAAACACAGAUGUACAUGCUGACAUUAUGUUUACUGAAGGCCAUGUGGUUUCAUUUUUAUCUAGCCGCUGAUCUUCUUGCCCGUUGAAGAAAUUAAUCCAAGGUGAAAGAGCACCGCUAAUCUCUGAACACGUGACCUGCAGACUGGGAUUAUCGUUGCAGGCUGCAGGAGUUACAACCUGGGGGCUGCUGCCUGGGAAUCCCUGAUGGCGGACAACGUGGACCCCGGUGGAGUGCGAAAAAAAAAAUCAAAGGUGUGGGACCAUUUUUCACGUCGUAAGGUGGAAAACGUAGUCCAGUGUAAAUACUGAAAGUGGAUCUAGCCUACCACAACACCACAUCCUCCAAGCUGCAGCACCUGACCAGGAAACAUCCACCUGUAAAUGUCACUUCUGCAAGCGGACUCAGAGCCUCUACAAGAUAAUGCAUUUUAGCCUGUUUUUCUAUAUAUUCUGCUGACACUGUGCGACUUUUUCGUUUGUAGCACUCACUUUCAGCUCACACCGUACGUCUGGUAGCAACACGUCGGACUUCAAAUGUGCUAAAAAUAGCAGUUUUUACAACAUGUUGGACUUUUUACUGUGUUGUUAUUGAUGUCCGUUGUCCCUCAGGAUCGCUGCAGGAGGACACGGGUAUUUAUGAGUGGCGGAGGAAAACGAUAGAAAGUAAAUAAAUAUUUUGUGAUCAGUAUAAUUUGACUUAACCACAGCAAACAUGCUUUCGACAAUCCUUGUUGGUGUGAGACAAAAAAAAGUGUAGAAAUUCAAACGGACGUGUGUUAAUAGGGAAACAGCUGGCGAGCCAUGUUUGCGCAUGCGCCGUGAGCGGUUCUGGUGCUGUUUGGGCCGCAGCCGCUCGCAUUUGUUAACUGUGAAGUAACGUUGAAGUUCUGAAGUUUUGAAAACUAAUUUUGAAUAAAACUUGAAGAAGAACAACUGGCAAUUGCUUUCUCAUUUCAAGAGGUCUUUCAUAUUUUAUAACAUGCUGUUUGAUAUAAGGGUUUAAAAACGCAAAAGAGUAAUUUAUUAGAGUACUCGAUUAAUCGAUAAAAGAUUCGAUAGAGUACUCAAUUACAAAACUAUUCGAUAGCUGCAGCCCUAGUAAGGUCCU